GACGAACGCUGGCGGCGUGCUUAACACAUGCAAGUCGAACGGAAAGGCUCCAGCUUGCUGGAGUGCUCGAGUGGCGAACGGGUGAGUAACACGUGGGCAAUCUGCCCUGCACUCUGGGAUAAGCCUGGGAAACUGGGUCUAAUACCGGAUAGGACCUUUCUCCUCAUGGGGUUUGGUGGAAAGUUUUUCGGUGCAGGAUGAGCCCGCGGCCUAUCAGCUUGUUGGUGGGGUAAUGGCCUACCAAGGCGACGACGGGUAGCCGGCCUGAGAGGGUGAGCGGCCACAUUGGGACUGAGAUACGGCCCAGACUCCUACGGGAGGCAGCAGUGGGGAAUAUUGCACAAUGGGCGAAAGCCUGAUGCAGCGACGCCGCGUGAGGGAUGACGGCCUUCGGGUUGUAAACCUCUUUCAGUAGGGACGAAGCGCAAGUGACGGUACCUGCAGAAGAAGCACCGGCUAACUACGUG
rnacentral:rRNA from 1 species